rnacentral:rRNA from 1 species
AUCCAGACUCCUACGGGAGGCAGCAGUGGGGAAUAUUGCACAAUGGGGGAAACCCUGAUGCAGCGACGCCGCGUGAGUGAAGAAGUAUUUCGGUAUGUAAAGCUCUAUCAGCAGGGAAGAAAAUGACGGUACCUGACUAAGAAGCCCCGGCUAACUACGUGCCAGCAGCCGCGGUAAUACGUAGGGGGCAAGCGUUAUCCGGAUUUACUGGGUGUAAAGGGAGCGUAGACGGCAUGGCAAGUCAGAUGUGAAAGGCCGGGGCUCAACCCCGGGACUGCAUUUGAAACUGUCAGGCUGGAGUGCAGGAGAGGUAAGUGGAAUUCCUAGUGUAGCGGUGAAAUGCGUAGAUAUUAGGAGGAACACCAGUGGCGAAGGCGGCUUACUGGACUGUAACUGACGUUGAGGCUCGAAAGCGUGGGGAGCAAACAGGAUUAGAUACCCCCGUACC